CUUCCAUCUUCAUUGCGGCAUGCUGGAUCUUUAGUUGCGGUGUGCAAACUCUUAAUUGCAUCAUGUGGGAUCUAAUUCCCUGACCAGGGAUCGAACC
rnacentral:pre_miRNA from 1 species